rnacentral:piRNA from 1 species
UUGGAGGUUGGCCCUGAUGGGAGGUAC